rnacentral:rRNA from 1 species
ACAACGCUGGUCGGCAUGCCUAACACCUGCAGGUCGUAACGCUAUUUAUAGAGUGGCGCACGGGUGAGUAACGCGUGGGAACCUGCCUUUCUCUGCGUGGAUAACGGUUGGAAACGACCGCUAAUACCGCAUACGCCCUACGGGGAAAAGUGUCCGCCGGAGAAAGAGGGGCCCGCGUCUGAUUAGCUUGUUGGUAGGGUAAUGGCCUACCAAGGCUACGAUCAGUAGCUGGUCUGAGAGGAUGAUCAGCCACACUGGGACUGAGACACGGCCAGACUCCUACGGGAGGCAGCAGUGGGGAAUAUUGGACAAUGGGGGCAACCCUGAUCCAGCAAUGCCGCGUGUGUGAUGAAGAGCCUUAGGGUUGUAAAGCACUUUCACUGGUGAAGAUGAUGACGGUAACCAGAGAAGAAGCCCCGGCUAACUUCGUGCCAGACAGCCGCGGUAAUACGAAGGGGGCGAGACGUUGUUCGGAAUUACUGGGCGUAAAGGGCGCGUAAGCGGUCUUUUAAGUUAGCGCGUGAAAGACCCGGGACUCAACCCGGGAAACUGCGCUUAAGACUGGAAGACUAGGAAAACCGGCACAGAGGGGUACGUGGAAUUCCCAGUGUAGAGGUGAAAUUCGUAGAUAUUGGGAAGAACACCAGUUGGCGAAAGCGGCUACCU